CUUCACCGAGCCGAGCAGCAGCGGCGGCGCCUCCCCCCGGUCCUGCCCGUACGUGGCGAUGAGCGCCUGCGCCUC
rnacentral:antisense_RNA from 1 species